rnacentral:rRNA from 1 species
AUUGAACGCUGGCGGCAGGCCUAACACAUGCAAGUCGAGCGGAUGAAGGGAGCUUGCUCUUGGAUUCAGCGGCGGACGGGUGAGUAAUGCCUAGGAAUCUGCCUGGUAGUGGGGGAUAACGUCCGGAAACGGGCGCUAAUACCGCAUACGUCCUGAGGGAGAAAGUGGGGGAUCUUCGGACCUCACGCGAUCUGAUGAGCCUAGGUCGGAUUAGCUAGUUGGUGGGGUAAAGGCCUACCAAGGCGACGAUCCGUAACUGGUCUGAGAGGAUGAUCAGUCACACUGGAACUGAGACACGGUCCAGACUCCUACGGGAGGCAGCAGUGGGGAAUAUUUGACAAUGGGCGAAAGCCUGAUCCAGCCAUGCCGCGUGUGUGAAGAAGGUCUUCGGAUUGUAAAGCACUUUUAGUUGGGAGGAAGGGCAGUAAGUUAAUACCUUGCUGUUUUGACGUUACCAACAGAAUAAGCACCGGCUAACUUCGUG